rnacentral:rRNA from 1 species
AGAGUUUGAUCCUGGCUCAGGAUAAACGCUGGCGGCGUGCCUAACACAUGCAAGUCGAACGCCCUUGAGCAAUCAAGGGAGUGGCGGACGGGUGAGGAACACGUGAGGACCUACCCUCUAGUUCGGAAUACCGGCGAGAAAUCGCCGACAAAACCGCCUACGCUCGGGCAACCGAGGAAAGCUCGCAAGAGCGCUGGAGG